GACGAACCGAGCGAACGUUGUUCGGAAUAACUGGGCUUAAAGGGCGCGUAGGCGGGCCGCCAAGUUCGAGGUGAAAUCCUCCGGCUCAACCGGAGAACUGCCUCGAAUACUGGAGGCCUCGAGGCGGGUAGAGGCACGUGGAACUCCCGGUGUAGCGGUGGAAUGCGUAGAGAUCGGGAAGAACACCAGUGGCGAAGGCGACGUGCUGGGUUGCACCUGACGCUGAGAUGCGAAAGUGUGGGGAGCAAACGGG
rnacentral:rRNA from 1 species